AUUGAACGCUGGCGGAAUGCUUUACACAUGCAAGUCGAACGGCAGCACGGGGGCAACCCUGGUGGCGAGUGGCGAACGGGUGAGUAAUACAUCGGAACGUGCCCAGUCGUGGGGGAUAACGUAGCGAAAGCUACGCUAAUACCGCAUACGAUCUCUGGAUGAAAGCGGGGGGACCGCAAGGCCUCGCGCGAUUGGAGCGGCCGAUGGCAGAUUAGGUAGUUGGUGGGGUAAAGGCUCACCAAGCCGACGAUCUGUAGCUGGUCUGAGAGGACGACCAGCCACACUGGGACUGAGACACGGCCCAGACUCCUACGGGAGGCAGCAGUGGGGAAUUUUGGACAAUGGGCGAAAGCCUGAUCCAGCCAUUCCGCGUGCAGGAUGAAGGCCCUCGGGUUGUAAACUGCUUUUGUACGGAACGAAACGGUCCUGGUUAAUACCUGGGGCUAAUGACGGUACCGUAAGAAUAAGCACCGGCUAACUACGUGCCAGCAGCCGCGGUAAU
rnacentral:rRNA from 1 species